UACCCGCUGAAUUUAAGCAUAUCAGUAAGCGGAGGAAAAGAAACUAACCAGGAUUCUCCCAGUAACGGCGAGUGAACGGAGAUUAGCCCAUCACCGAAGUCCAUUCGCGUUUGUGAACAGGACAAUGUGGUGUUUAGGCGUGUACCUGGGGUCGCUGGCCUGCUCGAAGUCCGGCUUCGAUUACGGCUUGGAUCAUGCCCAGAGCGGGUGCAAGGCCCGUGCGGGUAGGCUCUGACUAGCAGCGAUUCUCAGAUGUGCAUGCCUACGAGUCGGAUUUUUUGUGAAGCAGUCCGAGUUU
rnacentral:rRNA from 1 species